UACGUAGGGUGCGAGCGUUAAUCGGAAUUACUGGGCGUAAAGUGUGCGCAGGCGGCCGCGCAAGUCGAGUGUGAAAGCCCCGGGCUUAACCUGGGAAUUGCAUUUGUGACUGCACGGCUAGAGUUUGGCAGAGGGGGGUAGAAUUCCACGUGUAGCAGUGAAAUGCGUAGAUAUGUGGAGGAAUACCGAUGGCGAAGGCAGCCCCCUGGGUCAAGACUGACGCUCAUGCACGAAAGCGUGGGGAGCAAACAGG
rnacentral:rRNA from 1 species